GUAUGUAGGUUUGAGACCUUAGAGCAGAAAUGCUCGUAUGUGUUUCUCUUUUCUCAUUUGUGAUUUUCUGGGUUUUCUCAUUGAUUAGAUUUGUACUUUCCCCCGAACAAGCAAGUCAUUCCACCAGCCUGCCUACCCGAGUCACUGAAGUAAGACUGCCCGAGUAUUGUAAUGAGGAGUUCCGGUUUCUUUAAUAAAGAUAGAUCAAAUUCUCCCAUGAAUCCUAUAGAAAGAGAGUGCAAAUGAUCAUCGCCAAGUAACUACUAAUGUGUAGCGGCAGUGAGCUACCCCCUACUAUGUCUGUACUGAAUAGAUACAUAAGAAAUUGUACGACUUUUCUUGAUUAUUUGUGAUUUGAGAAAUUGAUUCAUCCCAUUGGAUUCUUAAGCCCAGUCCACACUAUUCUUUAGCAAUCAACUGACUUUACUGACUUUAUCUAUCAUCUCUAACAACACCCAAGAGAAGAAGCGGCAGUUACAAGAGAAGAAGCAGCUUUCUCAUCUCUCAUCUAACACCCAGCAAACCUACCCCAGCCGCCAAGUCAGUCCACCACCCCACCAAGUAAGUAAACACCCAGUAAGUAAACCAGCCGACCCGACCUCUUAACUGGAACUGCGACUACUGAUAUUGAUACUGAUCCUGCCGAUGCUCAUAGCAAUUAGUUUGCGCUUACUCCUAGACUAGACCUCUUCUCUUUCUACUAAUACAGAUGCAACUGGGAAUUCACGGACAAGUAGACCAGCUCAAUGGAUCUCAUUUCUCUCUUAUAUAGGACAACUGCUGAAACAAGAACUCGAAUACCACUUGCACUUUCUGAAUCAACUUCACUUGCUAGCUCAGCUCCCCCAAAAGGACUUGCUCUUGACCACUUACUAGCUCCCCACCUAACUUCAAAGCCAGUACUUUAUGGAACCAACCCACCCGAGUAACUGAAGUCAACUACCCGAGUCAAAGAAUUCCACAAGCCUACCCGAGUAACUUCAUUCAACCAGUCAAUCAAGACACCAACAAGUAAGGCAUAGGAUGGAACUAACUCAUUACAGAACGUAUUUAUGCUUGAGUCUGUUAUUUUCUAUGUCUUUGUAGUAGUGACUUUUCCAGUAGUAGCGGCGUAGUUGCUGAUCUACUUUUCUACUCCCAUUAUGUUAUUAGUAACAGUAUGUAGAUGUAUGUCAGACUUUCAAUAAAUCGUCCUGCGGAUUCAAGUUGGUUUAGUUCUGAUUAUUAUAUCUUUGAAUCGGUCUCAAGUCUGAGGUCAUAGCAUCCUUGCUGGAAAUAGUUCCUCUCCUCAGGCCCAGGCCUAGUAGCUCGGGUCGCCCUUUUUGUUCAUCUUAGUGGAAGCCCGCCUUAUUAAUAGCGCAGCAGUGAG
rnacentral:lncRNA from 1 species